UAACUUAGUGGCGGACGGGUGAGUAACGCGUGGGGAACCUGCCCUGCACCGGGGGAUAACACCUGGAAACAGGUGCUAAUACCGCAUAAGCGCACGAGGCCGCAUGGCCAGGUGUGAAAAACUAAGGUGGUGCAGGAUGGACCCGCGUCUGAUUAGCUGGUUGGUAGGGUAACGGCCUACCAAGGCGACGAUCAGUAGCCGGCCUGAGAGGGUGAACGGCCACAUUGGGACUGAGACACGGCCCAAACUCCUACGGGAGGCAGCAG
rnacentral:rRNA from 1 species